CCUACGGGAGGCUGCAGUGGGGAAUAUUGGGCAAUGGGCGCAAGCCUGAACCAGCAAAGCCGCGUGAGGGAAGACGGCCCUCGGGUUGUAAACUUCUUUUGUCCGGGGCGAAGAGAGUGACGGUACCUGACGAAUAAGCCACAGCUGACUACGUGCCAGCAGCCGCGUUAGUACGUAGGUGGCAAGCGUUAUCCGGAUUGACUGGGUGUAACGGGGGUGUAGGCGGGACUGCAAGUCAGAUGUGAAAUUCCAGGGCUCAACCCUGGAACCGCAUUUGAAACUGUCGUUCUUGAGUGAUGGAGAGGUAGGCGGAAUGCCGGGUGUAGCGGUGAAAUGCGUAGAUAUACGGAGGAACACCAGUGGCGAAGGCGGCAUGCUGGAUAUUAACUGACGCUGAGGCGCGAAAGCGUGGGGAGCAAACAGGAUUAGAUACCCUGGUAGUC
rnacentral:rRNA from 1 species